GACGAACGCUGGCGGCGUGCCUAAUACAUGCAAGUCGAACGCAGUGGGGACGGGUGAGUAACACGUGGGUAACCUCCCAUCAGAGGGGAUAACACUUGGAAACAGGUGCUAAACCGAUACUGAUGGAUGGACCCGCGGGGCAUUUGCUAGCUGGUGAGGUAACGGCUUACCAAGGCCACGAUGCAUAGCCGGCCUGGGAGGAUGAGCGGCAACGCUGGGACGGAGACACGGCCCAGACUCCUACGGGAGGCAGCAGUAGGGAAUCUGCGGCAAUGGAAGAAAGUCUGACCGAGCAACGCCGCGUGAUUGAAGAAGUUUUUCGGAUCGUAAAGCUCUGUUGUUAGAGAAGCGGUAUCUAACCAGAAAGCCACGGCUAACUACGUGCCAGCAGCCGCGGUAAUAC
rnacentral:rRNA from 1 species